rnacentral:rRNA from 1 species
UACGGAGGGUGCAAGCGUUAAUCGGAAUUACUGGGCGUAAAGCGCGCGUAGGUGGUUCAGUAAGUUGGAAGUGAAAUCCCCGGGCUCAACCUGGGAACUGCUUUCAAAACUGCUGAGCUAGAGUACGGUAGAGGGUGGUGGAAUUUCCUGUGUAGCGGUGAAAUGCGUAGAUAUAGGAAGGAACACCAGUGGCGAAGGCGACCACCUGGACUGAUACUGACACUGAGGUGCGAAAGCGUGGGGAGCAAACAGG